AGGGCGGUUAGGAGCGGGAGCGUAGCGUCUGUCAGAGUGCGCCUGCGCGGUUUGUUCAUUUAAUUUUGUGCAGUUACAAUCUACAGAUGGGAUGUCUGGGUUUGAAGUCCAUAAAACAGCUGGGAAGCACUGUAGGCUGCAGAUCAGUGCUUAUACACUUGUGUCGACAUGGAAUGAAAGUAUCUGAGGCCGUUUCAAGCUCCUCUACAGCUUGGUACACUGUAGGACAGGAUCGCCUGUGUGGGUGUGCUUAACAGAUCAAAGCAGACAGAAGAAGGCGAGUCUUCUGGAACACAGAGGGAGAGAGUUCACACGAGAGAGUGUGCGUGCGUCUCUCAGCAUCUCUCCCAUCAACAAACACCAACAGGGGAGCUUUAAUGGACUUCUCUGCCAGGUCCACGUUGAUCCGAGUGGAUGUUGGAAUAAGGAGAAUCGCUCAGGGAGUCUGAUUGGAUCAGCUUUCCCAAAAUGAGUGAAGAAGCCAAAGAAAAAAGUAGCUCCAAACCAGCGCACCGUAAAAAGAAAGGCAAGAAGGCAGUGACUGAGACAGUCUCAGAGUUGCCGAGGACCCUGCUGCACUCAGGUGGCUGAUACGCAGGAGAAACCAACAUGGCUGCCGUCACUCCAUACUCCAUAAUGUCAAUGACAUCAGAAAGAAGCCGAGAGCUGUUGCGUGUAGAACCACGAUCAUUUUUCUCUCCUGUUCAUUCAUCUCUCAUGUUCCCCUAUGGGAAACACGUUGGGCUUUAUGGCCACGUUGAUUUUUGUUGUCCUUAAACAUGAAUUCACCCCA